GGGCAUAAUGGAUAACAACUGGAGACACCGGGUGGGUACUUGGAAGUAUUGGGAGGCACUGGUAAGAUAUUAGAAGUGUUUCCAGAACAUAGAUGAUGGAGGACCGAACUCAUCCGGGGAGAUGGCAUGGAGAACUUCAGGCUGGGGCUUCGCGCGUGGGAGAAAAUGCAGAUCUGCCAGGCAGAGCAAGUUUGCCGAGAUGGAAACUGAGGCUCAGAAAGGCCAAAUGACCCCCCACCACGUCUGUAUAGCUGGGACGGGGUGCUCCUGCACAGCCACCUUCCAGAGCCUUGCCUGGUGUGUGAGGA